CAGCAGCCGCGGUAAUACGUAGGGUGCGAGCGUUAAUCGGAAUUACUGGGCGUAAAGCGUGCGCAGGCGGUUAUGUAAGACAGAUGUGAAAUCCCCGGGCUCAACCUGGGAACUGCAUUUGUGACUGCAUGGCUAGAGUACGGUAGAGGGGGAUGGAAUUCCGCGUGUAGCAGUGAAAUGCGUAGAUAUGCGGAGGAACACCGAUGGCGAAGGCAAUCCCCUGGACCUGUACUGACGCUCAUGCACGAAAGCGUGGGGAGCAAACAGG
rnacentral:rRNA from 1 species